GAAGGUGAGGAUGACGUCAAGUCAUCAUGCCCCUUACACCCUGGGCUACACACGUGCUACAUUGGGCAAGACAAAAAGUCGCGAGCCUGCGAAGGUCAGCUAAUCUUAAAACUUGCUCUAAGUUCAGAUUGAAGGCUGCAACUCGCCUUCAUGAAGAUGGAAUCGCUAGUAAUCGCUGGUCAGCUACACAGCGGUGAAUCCGUUCCCGGGCCUUGUACACACCG
rnacentral:rRNA from 1 species